GCCACCCUAGCUCAGCUGGUAGAGCGACGCACUCGUAAUGCGUAGGUCGGGGGUUCGAGUCCCCUGGGUGGCUCCA
rnacentral:tRNA from 1 species